rnacentral:pre_miRNA from 1 species
GCUCUGUGCUAGGCUGUGGUGUGGCUGCUUCACUACCGCCUCUGUGCUGCGCAGUACAGCAGCAGUGGAGCAGUUGCUGGGCAGCACAGAGGCAGUGGUGAAGCAGCUACACCGCAGCCUAGCAU